rnacentral:rRNA from 1 species
CGAACGCUGGCGGCGUGCUUAACACAUGCAAGUCGAACGGAAAGGCCCUGCUUUUGUGGGGUGCUCGAGUGGCGAACGGGUGAGUAACACGUGAGUAACCUGCCCUUGACUUUGGGAUAACUUCAGGAAACUGGGGCUAAUACCGGAUAGGAGCUCCUGCUGCAUGGUGGGGGUUGGAAAGUUUCGGCGGUUGGGGAUGGACUCGCGGCUUAUCAGCUUGUUGGUGGGGUAGUGGCUUACCAAGGCUUUGACGGGUAGCCGGCCUGAGAGGGUGACCGGCCACAUUGGGACUGAGAUACGGCCCAGACUCCUACGGGAGGCAGCAGUGGGGAAUAUUGCACAAUGGGCGGAAGCCUGAUGCAGCAACGCCGCGUGCGGGAUGACGGCCUUCGGGCUGUAAACCGCUUUCGCCUGUGACGAAGCGUGAGUGACGGUAAUGGGUAAAGAAGCACCGGCUAACUACGUG